rnacentral:rRNA from 1 species
GACGAACGCUGGCGGCGUGCUUAACACAUGCAAGUCGAACGGUAAGGCUCCAGCUUGCUGGGGUACACGAGUGGCGAACGGGUGAGUAACACGUGGGUGACCUGCCCUGCACUUCGGGAUAAGCCUGGGAAACUGGGUCUAAUACCGGAUAGGACCGCACCGUGAGGGUGUGGUGGAAAGUUUUUUCGGUGUGGGAUGGGCCCGCGGCCUAUCAGCUUGUUGGUGGGGUAAUGGCCUACCAAGGCGGCGACGGGUAGCCGGCCUGAGAGGGUGGACGGCCACAUUGGGACUGAGACACGGCCCAGACUCCUACGGGAGGCAGCAGUGGGGAAUAUUGCACAAUGGGCGGAAGCCUGAUGCAGCGACGCCGCGUGGGGGAUGACGGCCUUCGGGUUGUAAACUCCUUUCACCAUCGACGAAGGGUUUCUGACGGUAGAUGGAGAAGAAGCACCGGCUAACUACGUGCCAGCAGCCGCGGUAAUACAUACGGUGCGAGCGUUGUCCGGAAUUACUGGGCGUAAAGAGCUCGUACGUGGUUUGUCGCGUCGUCUGUGAAAUUCCGGGGCUUAACUCCGGGCGUGCAGGCGAUACGGGCAUAACUUGAGUACUGUAGGGGAGACUGGAAUUCCUGGUGUAGCGGUGAAAUGCGCAGAUAUCAGGAGGAACACCGGUGGCGAAGGCGGGUCUCUGGGCAGUAACUGACGCUGAGGAGCGAAAGCAUGGGGAGCGAACAGGAUUAGAUACCCUGGUAGUCCAUGCCGUAAACGGUGGGCGCUAGGUGUGGGUUUCCUUCCACGGGAUCCGUGCCGUAGCUAACGCAUUAAGCGCCCCGCCUGGGGAGUACGGCCGCAAGGCUAAAACUCAAAGGAAUUGACGGGGGCCCGCACAAGCGGCGGAGCAUGUGGAUUAAUUCGAUGCAACGCGAAGAACCUUACCUGGGCUUGACAUAUACAGGAUCGCGCCAGAGAUGGUGUUUCCCUUGUGGCUUGUAUACAGGUGGUGCAUGGUUGUCGUCAGCUCGUGUCGUGAGAUGUUGGGUUAAGUCCCGCAACGAGCGCAACCCUUGUCUUAUGUUGCCAGCACGUUGUGGUGGGGACUCGUAAGAAACUGCCGGGGUUAACUCGGAGGAAGGUGGGGAUGACGUCAAAUCAUCAUGCCCCUUAUGUCCAGGGCUUCACACAUGCUACAAUGGUCGGUACAGUGGGUUGCCAGUCCGUGAGGGCGAGCUAAUCCCGCAAAGCCGGUCUCAGUUCGGAUCGGGGUCUGCAACUCGACCCCGUGAAGUCGGAGUCGCUAGUAAUCGCAGAUCAGCAACGCUGCGGUGAAUACGUUCCCGGGCCU